rnacentral:rRNA from 1 species
AGAAUCAACGCUGGCGGCGUGCCUAACACAUGCAAGUCGCACGAGAAAGGGGCUUCGGCUCUGAGUAAAGUGGCGCACGGGUGAGUAACACGUGAAUAAUCUACCUCCGAGUGGGGAAUAACUGAGAGAAAUCUUAGCUAAUACCGCAUAACACUUACGAGUCAAAGCAGCAAUGCGCUUGGAGAGGAGUUCGCGGCCGAUUAGUUAGUUGGCGGGGUAAUGGCCCACCAAGACGAUGAUCGGUA